rnacentral:sRNA from 1 species
ACUGUCUGUUUCUGUAUUGGCACUGGUAUAUAUUCAAGGUUUGCUGUAUUGGCCCCGAGACCCGUUGGGUCGAGGGCCAAUACAGCUGACUGAGAAUCUAUACCAGUGCCAAUACAGAAACAGACAGU